GACAGAGGGUGCAACGUUGUUCGGAAUUACUGGGCGUAAGCGAGUGUAGGCGGUUUGGAAAGUCGGAUGUGAAAGCCCCGGGCUCAACCCGGGAAGUGCACUCGAUACUCCCAGCUAGAGUAUGGGAGAGGUUGGGUGGAAUUCUCGGUGUAGAGGGUGAAAAUUCGUAGAUAUCGAGAGGAACACCGGUGGCGAAGGCGGCCAACUGGACCAAUACUGACGCUGGG
rnacentral:rRNA from 1 species